CACCGCCGCAAUCCCCUUCGCCUGCACCGCCGGCCACCGCCGCAGGGCGGACGGCGAACGGCUUCGGGAACGGAAGGAGACGUGAAGUAUCCGCCGCAGCGCCGGCGCCAACCACACGGAGUCCCGGAAGCGCCGAGGCCGAGCCUCGGCAGAUGGCAGUAAUCGAUCCGCGCACACGGACAAGCUGGGGGCGAUAGCCAUCAGAUCUGAUGAAAUAUAGAUCUGGAUCCACCAGAUCUGGUGCUACCGGUGUCUUACUAUCUGAUUUGAGGGGACAUCUUUUUAUCCGUGGCUACAGUGCAGGGACCUCUGAUUGAAGCCAAUAUCAACAGCCUCCUCUCAGUCAACGUCAACGACUGGGCCUUGAGAAUCCAGUGAUUUUUUUGUUUUUUUUGUUUCACACAACCGUUGUGUCAAUCUAUGGAAAUUGUAUAUCCCUAUUUUUACAGGUAAUUUAGAUAUAAAGAUGUGUUGACUAGUAUUGUUACUUGAUAGUUUAGUAUCAUAUUCAUGAUGUAUUUUCUUUAAAAAGAUGUAGUUUUGGUUUUCAUGGUAUAAUUUAUAGUGUCAUUUUAUUUGUGUUUAAUAGCAACACAAAAUAUAGUAUAUUAAAAUUACGUGUUUUUAUUGCAUCUUUUCAGAAAAUAUACAUAUAAAAUAUUUCAUUUGUUGACUUGUUGGUGAAUUUUUGUUCAGCGGGAUAGAGUUAAGUAUGGAACACUUUUGUUCAUUGGACUUGUAUUUAAGAUGCAUUGUUUCUUAUGAUCAAGUGUACUAGCUCGUUCUAUGAUUAAUAUCAUGCAAUUGAAUUUGACAUGUUCAUGAUUUGUUGUAGUUAUAGAAUCCACUUUUCAAUGUAAUUAACUUGAUGUAAAAAGCCAAAAAGAUUACAAUAAGACCAUCAACAUUACUAUGUUAUAUACUUUAAAAUCACAAAAUUGUGCAUAGAGAUCAUGUAUGAACGGGCACCUUUGGUAGAUGUGAUGUGCGAUGGUGGGCUGAUCGUCACCACUAACUCUAAUAUUUAUAGGAGUAAAUGUUGGAGUAUGUAUCAUAGAUUGGUUUCUCGUCCUUUGACCCAAAUGCUACCAACUGCAGGUGAUAUGAAGUAAGAGCAUACCUGUUUACAAUGCAACCAGUAGAAUCUAUAGUAAUUUAACUCACCAUAUAAACAGAGCCAUUAUCAUGUUUGAUCCAACCACAUAGGUCUCAUUCGUGUCGAACCAAGCGAUGAUCUAAAGAAACUAUGCUUGUCGUAUAAUUGCUAAUGCAGUGCCACAUACCAAAAUUCAGCUCAUGUAAAAAGUAAGUCAGGUUUUGUAGUUCAAUCAACAUGAAUGCAAAAGAUCUGGUUUGCAACUGGUGUGUCCAGACUCCACCUUUUGUAGUUCAAUAAACAUGAAUGCAAAAGAUCACAAUGCACAGAAUAUGGUAUUUUCCUUAGCAUCAACUUUAACACUAGGAAAUUUGGUUGGGCUGAGAGGUGAUAACUUCGAUAGCAGCUAAGUUUCUGAACUGGAAUAACUGCUCACACACUGGUAGACUGCUUCACAUAUAGUGCAAUUGGCUUCUAGAAGUAAGGACUUUCAACACCCUGGAAUAUGUACUCUCAUGUGGCAUGAGGGCACAUCCUUCGCAGAAGAAAUGUGCUAUCAUGACUGCAUACGCGUUGAAAAGGUUUCAUGUAGCAUACAAGUACACAAAUUGAAAUAUAUUAAUUACAACAAAAUAAAUGGUAUGAGCCUGGAGCUGCAGAUUCAGUGUGCACGAUUGUGACUAAAUGAAUUUAUGAAGCAAGAAGAUGAAGUGGUGAAGUGCUACACCAAAUUUGUCCAAAAUACUUAUUUGGAUGGUGCAAAUUGCACUAAUCCAGCCAUAUGAGUUUGUUUCCAAAGUAACAGCAUUUAAAUUUAUUUGGAUUUAGUUAUGUGCUACAAACAAUCACAAAAUUAAGUGAGUAGAUAAUUUGUAUCAUUUAUGCUUUAGCAAUUAUUAUCGGGCUUAGCACUGAGCCUUAUUUCAUCAACAGUAUUUUGCACUGGAAUUGUAUCAAGGACCCUGGUAACCUAUGACCCAAGUAAUCUAGGAGAAACAAUUUAAUAAAAAGGAAGUUAUAAGAACAACAAGAACUUUGAGCUUCCCCCAUACAUGUAACCACCCUAUGGCUUGACAUUAACCAUCCAACUGAGUGGGCAAACAAAACUAUCUGUUCUUUAUUUCAAGUAUCUUCACAUACAACUAAGUUGCUUCUCAUGGUGCCCACACAUGUUCAGAUGACAAUUUACAAGAUCCUAUACUGAAAUCAGAUGUUCCAUCUGAAUAUAAAUGGUCCAUCAGAUGAAAGAUGGAGUGUUUGUAAUUCUUAUUUGCACUUUCAGAAAGAACAGUUUUGCAACCAUGUUUCAGAAAGAACUUCCCCUCCAUAUGCAAAUCACAAUGUUAAUUAUUUGCACACACUGGAGAAGUACCAGCGGCCCAGGUGAGUUUAUUUAUUUAGUGGCAUCUGAAAUCUUUCUUUCAAAUACCUUCAGACUUAUCCUACUCAUCCUCCGAGGUUGCAAAAGUCUCGUGACACUUCUAAAGGUGAGACUUUAAUUGUUAUAUAAUCUGAUGUUGGAAAAUUGGCUUGUUAGGAACUUGUUCGUAGUGAAGAUGAUGACCAUCAUAUCAACAAUUGAGACUUGAAAUUGUUUGUAUUGUAGAUGCUGAUUACAGUGCUACAAAGACGUCAAAAUCCGUGCUUGCUCAUUCUCAUCUCUACACUGAAUCUCGCAUCUGACCUGCCAAUGCAGUAUUAUACCUCUACAUGAAGAUUGUAUUCACGGUUGAUAUUUGUUGCACCAAUUGCAAGUGUGUUUCUCUGAUAUCUGGGUUCGAGGGUGCUACAACAUUGAUUAAUUUUAGCAUUGAGGAUGAAGGUGGGGGGGUAUUAAUCGUGCAUCACAAGAAAUUUCAGAACCAACAUCAAGGAGAAUAGAUUGGAAUUUCACUUGUAUUGUUGGAGUUAAAAAAUGGGCCACAGCUACCCCUCACUAAGGUGUGUGGUCCAUUUAUGAAAGCCUCCGCUCAGCAGGCUGUGAAGCCCACUCGCAAACUCUAGCUCGAAUAUGUAGUCUUCAAGUUGAGCAUGGCUCAUUCUUGCAAGAUUCAGUCAUCCAGCCAUAUUAUGGUAGGCGUGGCCAGAAUCUAUUCUCAGAAGGUCAACUGCUCAUUUCAUGAUUGCACUGAAGCUUUGCAGUUUUGGCCCAUUUCAUGAGUCUCACAAGGUAAACAAGCCUUCAGGUCUCCCCCCUGAAGAAUCAACUGCUCCAACCAUUCUGUAACACUUCCUGAAACAUUCCAUCUUGAUGAUUCUCUUUUUGUGAUAAUUUAAUUGUUUAAACACACGCUCUUCAGUAGUCUGAGUACUUUCCAGCACGCUCCAGCAACAUUGAUCAUCACCUAAGCGCAAAACAACAUAUCACCUUGCAAGACAACCCAGGUAGAAAAGGAUAUUCAACAUCUGAAUUUGGUUUAGAUGGCUGGUCGAUUCUGUGUUCACAUCUUCUACUUUUGAAAUUAUGAACCCAUCAGUUAAUUAUUUAUGCAUAUCUAAAUGUGCAGAAAGAUUUUGUGAUGUCAAUUCUUCACAUAUGGGUUUGGAUUUGGAAGAGGUAAUCAUAAUUUAUCUCAACUUACAUUCCUCAGCUGUAUUGGGCUAUCUUUUGUUCAUUACAUGUUGGACUUGCUAAUUCAUUGAAAAGAAGGUUGUUUAUGUAUGUUGCGGGUCGAAGAAUGCUCUAUAGUUCUUGUGGUUUUGUGUUUCCCUACGUAUUAUGUCUUAAUUAAUAAAAGAACUGUCUGAACAACAUAUUAUUACCAUUGAACUUAUGUUCUUUACAAUGGCUGACCUUACUGCUGACGAAGUAUCACUCGGUUCAACUCCUAGUCUGAUGAUGGGUAAAAUCACAUCUUUGUCUUCCAAAUCCUUUCUCAUUGGAUUUUCUUGCCUGUUGCAGUGGCCUGCAUCUGUUCCUCAUCCAAAGGGUUCAUUUUUGUUUUCUGAUUUUGUGGAAAUGAUUUUACCCUCCUCCAGGCUGUUUUAUAUUUUGAUUUCAAUCUCUAACUGAAUAUUUUAAACCUUGACUCGUAUGGUUGGAGGAUCAGUUACUAGCUUCUGCUGGUAGAUGUCCAGGUGUCCUUGCAUAUAUAUUGACUGUUUGCGCGCUGAGUUGCAGCGUUCAUUGAUUUGCUACUCGUACCAUGUGAACAUUUCUCACUUCUUUGCUGCCUUGCCAUAUUUUAAAUUGUAACGCCUUGCAUUUUGCUGUUUUACCCAUAUUGUGCUACAUAUGCAUUGCUUGGGUCUUUCUUUUUGUGCCUCCAGUAUUAUCAUUGAAGGCCGGUCAUCAGUUCAUCUUACUGAUGUGUAUGUUGACGCUGACCCAAGUAUAGAUGAAGGGGCUGAAGGAUUUAACGACAUGGAUGAUGAAGAUUUAACAACAUGGAUGAUGAACCUCCUAGUUACAGAAAUCAUAUUCCUAACUUGACUGGUUACAAUGUGCAGACCGCUGAUUUGAAUAUGCUACUGCUCAAUGAAGAUGAUGCAGGACCAUCAACGACAUACUAUCAACCUAGAUGAGCCUGAGUCACCUGAGCAUGUAAACGCACACGCACCAGCUACACAUUGAUUGAUGGAAGAAACAGUUCCUUCCAGAGUGCAGGAAAGUCCUAUACUGAGCCCUCAACGAAAAGCUUCACCAUCAAGCUACGAGGAAACUGGCAAGCCUGACAAUUUUGCCACUCCACCCUCAGAAUUUCUCCAGUCAGCUGCAGCAAAUGCUAAUGAUGUUGUUGGUCCUGAGAUCAUUGAUUUUGGAAUAACUAAAGCUCUGCAAGUUGAAACUACUGUGGAUAGGUUGGUGCUAAAUACUGAUGAUACAGCUGUAUCAGGUGAAAUCCCAAUAGAACACCGGAACAGUACACAAUACAUGCAUAGACUGAAUCACUGAGAAAACGUUACUCAGAGAGGACAGGCAAGCACAGAGCCAUAAAGACCAGUAGCUAACAAAAGAGAUAGCUUGUAGCAGAAAAAGUUACUUGGUGGACAGGAGUACAGAGUCAUACUGACGUUACAUACAGCAACAUAGGUAAAUAAUUUGUACUGCAGAUUCUCAUUACAUAGCUUGUUUUGGAUGUCUGGAUUAUGCAGCACCAGUGCACCACUCCUUCGAGCUAAUGAUUUGGGCUGUUGCCCCGCAUCUGUCGGAAGAAAAAAAUGUAAGUAAUAACAUCAUGAAUGUAAAGAACCACAGUAGCACAGUAGUGUAAAUAUUGGAAAAAAAGAGCACUGUAUUUUCUUAUAUAUAAAUCACCAUUGGUUGUUUUCUCAUCGUUUCACCCCCCACAAACUGCAGCUGAGUCACCCCCCACAAACUGCAGUUGAGAACAUGCCCGUUUACAAUGCAAAUGCUAAUGAUUUCGGAUUACCCUACUUUUUGUCUUUUUGAUAAAACCAUGGCCUAUUUGAACCAUGAACUGUUUCUGCAGUUAAAAUCUGAUAAUUCUAACUUCUAAUUGCAAGGCUGCAGAUUCAGUGUGCGCAUGGGGACUGAUGAAUUUCCGGUUGUUACUGCAUGCUAGAAUUAUCAGAUUCAGUUUUCAGUCUGUACAAGGACAGGCUGCAGAUUCAGUGUGCGCAUGGGGACUGAUGAAUUUCCGGUUGUUAGCACUGCAUGCUACAAACUGUAAUAUUUUGCUCUAUACUUUUAUGACAAUAUUUUGUUGCAUUGGCACUAUCAAUGA